UUGAAGUAUGAAGAGCAUGAAGGGAAUGAGUGCUGAGAGAGUGAGAGCUACUUGUUAUGCUUUCUUAGUUUAUAUUUUGAAUUGAUGGUUUAUUGUUAUGAACUAACUUUCACUACUACAAAAUUGAGCUUAAGUAACACCCAUUGGUAACACUUUAAAAAUUUCAUGAUUGUUUGAUUUUUACGUAACACUUUUGUAACAUUGUGGUAUUAGGUAACACUUUAUUGUAACACUUUGAUAUUAGGUAACACUUGGUUGUAACACUUAAUUUUUUUUUUUUUUUUUUAAGAAAACACUUAAUUCGAUAUGCUCAAUUUUUUUUAAUCAAAAUCGACCCUCACAGUCACAACCUCACAAAUCUCUCCCCCCUCGUAUUUCUCCAACCCUCAAUAAAGCGUUGACCGUCUCUUUACGCUGCACCUCCUUACCUCUGCUUCCAUCGCUAUCACCUUCUCAGUAAUUAAACCAAUGAGUCUUUCCUUCGAUUUUCAUUCGCCAUUGACAAUGAAGCUCGAAAUCAAUGGAGGACAUUAUCUCUCCUUCCGAUAAGCAGGUCAUGGUCUCUAAAUUCCUUGAGAUCGUUGCUGGCCAGAGUGCCGAUACGGUCCGCCAAUUCUUGCAGGUUUUGAUUCCUAUUCUGAAACCAACUGGAUACACCAGUGCUGAUCCUUAUAAAAUGUGUAUAUUCAAUUUGAAUUGGCUAAUAUAUUAGAAGAUGGCUAUUGAGCAUUUUUCCCCCAGAAUGUCUACAAUUUACUUGAUGCUAUGUAAGAGGGUAGAGUGUUUAAAAAAAAAUGUAAGAGGGCAGAUAUAUAUAUGAAGCAUUAUUUUACUCUUACACUAUCAGUUUACUACUUUUUUCAAUUCUCAUUGUAUUUAUAGAUGCUCUUCCAUUUAUAAGCAAGGGAGUGAGAACCAUGAGAUAGAGCAUUGGAAGAUUAGAGACGAUGGAAACAAAAACUUCUGUUAUGUUACAGGACACAAGAAACAUGGUUGCAUAUAUGUAGCAACCAAUGUCACCAUUACUCUUUCUGCUGUUACAGAUAUCUGCUGUUGUUGCUGAUGCCUGUCGAUGUCACUAGCUCAGUGCUAUCUGCUGCUACUGCAGUCUGCUGUUUUCUCACUGCUAGUGUUGUCUGAUCUAAUGCUGACUCUUGCUACUUCGGUUUGCUGCCACUGCUCUCUGCUACUGCUGGUUGUUGCCAACUGUUGUAUGCUACUGCUGAAAGCUGCCACUCCUGUAUACUACUGCUGGUUGCUGCUAAAGACUGCUACUAGAAGCUUCUGUUACUACUUCUGCCAUUCUGCUAGUUGCGUAGCUACUGCCAUUCUGCUAGCUAGUUGUGUAGCUGCUACUAUACGCUGUUAUUAAUGCUCUUUGCUGUUAUCGCUAACUUUUUUUAAAAUUUGGAAGUUUUUUAUUUUUCCUUACUUUUUCCAAGCUAGAGAUCAAACUUAAUUUUCUUUGUGUUAGGAUUAUUAUAUUGUUUGGCCAAACAUUAUAAUUGGUGUUUAUGGAUUUUUUU